rnacentral:tRNA from 1 species
AGGAUUAUAGUUAAAUUAACAUUUGAUUUGCAUUCAAAAAAUAUUGAGUAUUCAAUUUAUCUUA